rnacentral:rRNA from 1 species
AACGAACGCUGGCGGCGUGUUUAAGACAUGCAAGUCGCACGGUGUCAUUGAUGUAGCAAUACCUUGAUGGCACAGUGGCGCACGGGUGAGUAACACGUGAAUGACAUGCCCUUCAGAGGGGGAUAGCCCAGGGAAACUUGGAUUAAUACCCCAUGGUCUCGCGAGAGUAAAGGCGGCGCAAGCUGUCGCUGGAGGAUUGGUUCGCGUUCUAUCAGCUUGUUGGCGGGGUAACGGCCCACCAAGGCUAAGACGGAUACCUGGGCUGAGAGGACGAUCAGGCACCCUGGAACUGAGACACGGUCCAGACACCUACGGGUGGCAGCAGUCGAGAAUAAUUCACAAUGGGGGCAACCCUGAUGGUGCAACGCCGCGUGGAGGAUGACGGUCUUCGGAUUGUAAACUCCUGUCAUCCGGGAGUAAGACCUGGUCGUUAAUAGCGGACAGGGUUGAUAGUACCGGAAGAGGAAGGGACGGCUAACUUCGUGCCAGCAGCCGCCGUAACAC